AAGGAGCUUUGGAGGGGUGAAGGAGGGAGAUCAGCGGAGAACAAAGAAGAUCUCCAGGGCUCUCUGGAGAGCCAGCUGCAUCUGUUCUUCCUGUAGCGUGACUCAGUGUUGCUCCCAGCAGGGUCUACUGUGGGGAUCUUCUGAUUUUUCCAUCACUCUCUUGGUCGUUACGACGUUUUAUGAAUUUGGAAAUGUCCUUGAACAUCAGAUGCUCCUGCCUCUGCUGCUCAUGGGCUGGGCUCAUAGGCAUGUGCCAUCAUCACUCCUGUUCUCAUGCAGUGCUGGGGGAAUCAAACUUAAGGCCUUGUGCAUGCCAAGCAAGCAAGCACUCUAGCAAUUGAGCUACAACUCCAGGUCCCCUGUGGGUUUGUUUAUUGGUUGGUUGGUUGUUGGUUUUUCCACUGUUAGCAGCAUGUAAUGACAUCAAAACUUGUGUCAAUUGCUGCAUGCCACAAUGACUUCUAUCAGAGCCCUGGGCCAGGAUGCCACCUUCCUUGCCUCUUAAGCAACUGGAUCACUGCUAUCCAUGGAGAGCAGAGACACUGAAUGUCUCCUGGGUCUAAGCCUGUCACUGUAGCACCUCCAGUCUGACCGUGGAAGCAUUAUGGUUCCAUCCCUGAGAAGAUCUCAGCACAGGGACUUGAGCAGCCAGGCACGUCAUAUCCAGUGGAGAGCAGAAAGGGACACACCCGUGUUGCCUGCUCACUUGCCAGCUGCUUCCAGCUGCCUGUCUGAUGUCACUGUAUGCAUGCCUAGGGACAUAAUACUACCAGAAGAUCCAGCAAUACCUCUCCUGGGCAUAUACCCAGAAGAAGUUCCAAAUGGUAAU